GCGGCAGUAGCUCAGCUGGAUAGAGCAGUUGAUUUCUAAUCAACGGGUCGGGGGUUCGAGUCCCUCCUGCCGUGCCA
rnacentral:tRNA from 1 species